GCCUUGUGCGCUCAUUCGCUUUCGCACGUCACGGUAAGAUCACGGGUGCGCGUCGUUUGCGGGGCCAAGUCUUUCAGGCCACCCAAACCCCCAAUUCCACCGCGGAUAUAUAGGGGCUUCGUUAAUUAGUCUCGGAUCCCCAAAAAAAAACUAUGAAUAGUGUCAAGUGGUUCGGGCCAAAUAGAUAAGGAAAAAAAAUAAACUCAUUCAUUUCCCAACGUCGGUGGCGUAGGCCUACAUGC
rnacentral:lncRNA from 1 species